rnacentral:rRNA from 1 species
UGGCCCAGAUCGUUUACCGUGAAAAAAUUAGAGUGUUCAAAGCAGGCAGAUCCAAUUUUCUGCCACCGAAUACAUUAGCAUGGGAUAAUGGAAUAGGACCCUGUCCUCCUAUUUUCAGUUGGUUUUGGCAGCGCGAGGACUAGGGUAAUGAUUAAUAGGGAUAGUUGGGGGCAUUAAUAUUUAAUUGUCAGAGGUGAAAUUCUUGGAUUUAUGAAAGAUUAACUUCUGCGAAAGCAUCUGCCAAGGAUGUUUUCAUUAAUCAAGAACGAAAGUUAGGGGAUCGAAGACGAUCAGAUACCGUCGUAGUCUUAACCAUAAACGAUGCCGACCAGCGAUUAGGAGACGUUGAAUACAAAACACCACCAUCGGCGCGGUCGUCCUUGGCGUGUCUCGGCUUCACGGCUGGGGCGCGCGAGGGCGGUUAGCCC